GUGAGCUCAGCAUCAAAGUGCCGUUGCCAUGGUGACCUGGGGUUUGAUCUUGGAGCGUCAGUUAAGGAGGUGUCGAGACCGAUCGGCUCAACUUCCACGUUAAGUACCGAUUUACAGUGACGUCGGGGGGACGGAAGAGUGGGAGACACUUGACCACCAGCUCACGAGUUGAAGCCGCUUCUCACGUGAACGAGUCGACUCCACCACGCGGUCGGCUGCUGACCAGACGUCGUCCGCUAGCGAUCACCUUACAUUUGUGCAAAAAGUCUCGUCUGAGGCCGUUUGCUGUUUCCUGAGUCCCACUGAGGUCAGUGAUGUCACAACACACAGACACCUCCUUCUCCGUGUGCCCCGGGACAACAGGGAGGACGGAUGGAGACGGAUGGAGACGGAUGGAGACGGAUGGAGACGGAUGGAGACGGAUGGAGACGGAUGGAGGAGGUAGAGAAGUUUCCCCGUCACCUACACCCCAUAAAUCCUCUCCGGCCCUGCCGCCUCUCACCUGACACGACAGCUGAGACAUAAACCCCAGCAGGGGUCCGCUUCAGGUUUCUAUCACCUAACUACAGACCCAGACACAUAAAAGGACUCCUCUGAUCCAACCAGAAAACUUUGCUAGUUAGCUUCCUCAGCUAACUAGCAGCUCACAUGAGCUGUACUGUGUUAGCAAGCUGCAGUAGCCUUUGUUUUAGCUAGUUAGCAUUAGGUUACAAUCUGUAAACAUAAAACGCUGAGUGCCUAACCCUAUCCCAAGUGACGAACAACUGUAUGUUAGCAUGUCCCGUCAUACUUUUACUUAAUUAAACCAUUAUCAACAUUUUAACAAUGUUCUCUUUUUAAUCAACCAAUUCAUGCUUAUAGUUUAAGCCAAAAAAAUUAGCAUGGUGUGGCACUUGGUAGCGCAUUAGCUUUAACUCCGCUGGCUAGUUAGUGUUAGCAGUGGUAGCCUAGCUUGAAUAUUAUCUUCAUCUUUCUAAAAUGUGUUCAUAUAAAUUUUCAAGUGCUGAUAGGACACGGACAGAUCUGGCAGGGAAGAGGUUUUUCGUUAGCUGGACCAUGCUAGUGACGUUAGCUCCUGUUUGACAGUUUCGCUGAAGUUGAAAGUUUCAAAAGUUUAUUUUGCUUAAUAAAUACCUAAAUGUUGUGCUUUGCCUUUAUGUCACAUUGAGCUGAAGUAAAAAUGAACCUGUAGCUAACGUUAGCAGCAUGAUAACAGGCUAGCAUCGUUUACUGGCCCAGAGACCAGAGGCAAACUGACAAAACUGACACCUGCAGAAAGUAAAUAGACUCGGCCUCAUCUCAUCAA